rnacentral:rRNA from 1 species
AUUGAACGCUGGCGGCAGGCUUAACACAUGCAAGUCGAGCGAGCGGCGGACGGGUGAGUAAUGUCUGGGAAACUGCCUGAUGUAGGGGAAUAACUACUGGAAACGGUAGCUAAUCCCGCAUACAAUCAGAUGUGCCCAGAGGGGAUUAGCUAGUAGGUGGGGUAAUGGCACACCUAGGCGAAGACCCAUAGCUGGUCUGCGAGGAUGACCAGCCACACUGCAACGUAGACACGGUCCAGACUCCUACUGGAGGCAGCAGUGGGGAAUAUUGCACAAUGGGCGCAAGCCUGAUGCAGCCAUGCCGCGUGUGUGAAGAAGGCCUUAGGGUUGUAAAGCACUUUCAGCGAGGAGGCGUUACUCGCAGAAGAAGCACCGGCUAACUCCGUGCCAGCAGCCGCGGGAAUAC